rnacentral:lncRNA from 1 species
UUUUUUUUUUAAAGCUUAUUUAUUUGGAGGUAGGGCGAGGGAAGGGCAGAGGUAGAAUCUUAAGCAGGCUCCACUUGACCCUGAGAUUAUGACCUGAGCCAAAAUCAAGACCUGGAGGCUUGGGCAGCCCCCGGUGGCUCAGCAGUUUAGUGCCGCUUUCAGCCCAGGGUGGGAUCUUGGAGACCGGGGAUCGAGUCCCAUGUUGGGCUCCCUGCAUGGAGCCUGCUUCUCCCUCUGCCUGUGUGUCUCUGCCUCUCUAUGUCUCUCAUGCAUAAAUAUAUAAAAUAAAAAAAAAAAAAAAAAAAAAAAAAAAAGACCUGGAGGCUUAAUCAACCGAACCACCCAGGCAUCCCUCUUUACCCAUUUCUGUAACACUUAUACAAAAGUCCCACAAAAUUGUAACCCUAUUUCUGUUAUUAUUUCUUUGUAUUAGGUAAUACUUUGAAAUGAUUAUUUGAAAAAUAAUUAUGGUCGUAAUUCAUGGAUUUACCCUAAUCAGAUUGUUGGAAAUAUAAGCCAUUUUGUUUACUUCAAAAUGACUUGUAAUGAAUUACAAUGACUAAAAGACUGACUUGUCACAAAAAAAGAGUUGAGACACAUGAAUGAUUCUCAAAUAGCCCCAAAUGAAUCCUGCACUAUUUUUCAUUAUUCCACAGCAAAAUGACAACAAUGCGGCAAGUUUUUCAAAAAGACAAUUUUAAAAUCAUAUGUCCUGGGGUGCGUGGGUGGCUCAGUUAGUUAAGCAUCUGACUUCAGCUCAGGUAGUAAGCUUGGGGCUCAAUCCCAGAACCGUGCAUAGUAGAGAAUCUACUUGUCCCUCUGCCCCCCACCUCAUGCUCACGCACGCUUUCUCCCUCAAAAUAAAUACUUAGAAAACCUUUCCAACUCUUUAGUUUGUCUCUCAUAUAUAAAUAAUUUGAUAGAUUCAACCAAAACCAAAACCAAAACUAAAAAAAAAAACCACACAGGAGUUUCCUAAUUGCUUUGUUGAUUCGUAUCCUAAAGAUCUAGAUGAAUACACUGCUUGAUUUGUCCUAAACCCCUGAAGUUACCCUGUUCUCAAGCGGCUCUGUAUCGUUUGAAUAGGAUAUAGAAUGUGAACCUUUCCCAUGUUAACCUAUCAAGGCUCCUAUGAGACCUAAGACCUAGACUCUCAAGUCCAUGAUUUAGAAGGAACAAAUCUAACCUGCUUAUUAUCUAGUCACUGCCAGAUACUAAUACAAAGGGAGUUACCCAGGCACCUUGACAAAGACUGUUUAUUGUGAUUAAUAAUUACCCUGUUCUUAUAAGCACCUUUUCCUCAAGUAACUCAAAGCCUUCUGGCAUACAAUGUCUCCUUGAUGGGCAGUAACAACAGAAUGAGCAAGAAAAUAAGGUCUGCCAGUGAGACAAAGAGGCUACAAAGAACACGAAUAAUCAAACUCUAAAAAUACUGAAAUACUUUCAAAAUCAUAGUUUUUUCAAAAUUUUUAAGUUCAUAUAUAAUGAACACAUAGGUUAUAUUAAUCUCAGGUAAACAAAAAUUCGUGGCUUUAAGUCCAAAUGGCCUGUGAUGGCAAAACUCUUCCUAUUCUUCUCUCAAUCAGAGCCAAUAUCCCUACACUUACCUUCAUAUGAACAUUAUAAUAGAACCCUAAGUUAAAAAAAAAUCACUAAUCUGGCUGUAAUAAUUAAGCUCCAAAAUACCAAACUUUAUGACAGUUACAAAGACCUUCUUUUCACGGAGAAUUCUUUUCCAGGGUAUUAAAUUAAAACUUCCAUGCAUGAUGCUUAACUGUCUUCUUCCCGUCUCCCCAAAGCACUGCCCCAUGACCUAUUUUUGAAAUCUGGUUCCUUCAUUUUACUUUGCUAAUUCAUAUUAAGAAUAUUUUAGUUUUCACACAAAUUUCAGUUAUUUCAUAAAAAGUGCAUGGCAUGGAGAAACUGUUCCAGUUUACCAAAGUAAAAUAAAUUUCAGGGAACAUAUAACUUGACUGUUUUAUUUUUUUAUUUUUUGACUUGACUGUUUUAGAAAUGGAAAACAUAACGCAAGUAUUGUUUAAUUUUGGGGGGAAUGCAUGAUAGCAAGGGUUGGGGGGGCAGUUUAUGCAAAGAAAACCAAGCAGCUACUUCUCUUCCACAAAUAACUGAUUUUACCAAACAUCUAUAUGGACAACUUAACCAAGAGUCUAAAGAGUUGAAUCUUUAAAAACUGCCCACUUUGAUGUAGGCGUCCAAUUAAACUACUCUCAGAAUUUAUCCUUGAACAUAAUUUUCCCAUUUAGCAGACAGAAAAAAGGCAGAAAUAUACAGAAACAAUUUUAUGUCCCAGCUAUUAAUGUCUUAUUAUCACUUAGAUUUUUAUGGCAUAAAACUCAUUCUACUACUUAGUGUUUUUAGUUUCUGAGAAAGCUAUUUGGACCUAAAACUAUGAAUUAGGAAGUAAUCUACUACAUAAAUGCAAUUUAUUUUUUAUUUUUUAUUUUUUUUAAAGAUUUUAUUUAUUUAUUCAUAGAGACACAGAGAGAGUUUUUUUUUUUUUCUUUAAAAAACUGAGAGACCUCAGGUGAAGGCAGACACUUAACUGAAACACCCAGGUGCCUUCGAUCUUUUUUUAAAGAUGUAUUUUAUUUGAGAAAGAGUAUGCAAGCUCUCACACAAGGGGAGGGGCAGAGGAAGAGGAAGAAUCUCAAGUAGACUCCCCAUUGAGUGUGGACCCUGAUGAGGACAGGGCUCCAUCCUACUACCCCGAGAUCAUAACCCAAGCUGAACCCAAGAGCUGGAAUCCAUCAACAACACUCUACUGACCGAGCCACCCAGGCACCCCAAGGCCUGAUCUUUCUGAAUAGCAGAAAGCAGUUAAAUUUAAAAAUGUUUUUUGAACACUCAAGAAUAAACCUCUCUUUCUUAAGAAAACCAAUCAAAUUGACUCAAGGUAUCCACAACCUUGGCAAGUUUGAGUACUAUUUGCAAAAACGAAUUUCAAAUUUAGUGUUAACAACGGAAUUAACACCUUGCCAAGCAAGAAAAAGAUAACACUAAAUUCACUUUUCAGGAAUAACUAAUCAGGUGGUGUCUCUUUAACCAUAACAUUUUAAGGUAUAUUAAGUUCAAUUUUCAACAUCUUUUUGUUCUACACUUAGAUCAUUAAAGUGGGGGUGAGGCAGAAGAAAAACCAUAUAAAAAUAAAAUCCAGUGAAAGUCCCAUGUAGGUUCAAGUAUUUUCUUUAGAACUUGAGCUAUGAAAGAUAAUCACUAUUCAAAAAUACCCUAAAAAGCUUUUCACAGUAAGACAAAAAGACAAAAAAAAAAAAAAA